AAGCGCUUGUGACCAGACUUGCGUCCGGUGAAUCACCCAGCUCUCGCGGCUGGGGCACUUCGCCGGCACAGGCCAGCAUCAGUUUUCCCCGGGGGAUAAAGGCGGCGGGAAUGUGGCUCUCUUCGGGGAGUGUUAUAGCCCACCGUGUAAUACCCUGGGGGGGACUGAGGUUCGCGCAUCUGCAAGGAUGCUGGCGUAAUGGUCAUCAACGA
rnacentral:rRNA from 1 species